rnacentral:lncRNA from 1 species
AUAACGUAUAAAUAUUUAAAUUUUUAUUCAACACGACUGAUGUGAAGUUUUGUUUAAUCUACGAUAUCUGUACAACUGUACUUUUACUACCGAUUAUGAAUUACUAAAUAUUAUAUACAUUUGUUUUAUUUUUGUUUUAAUUAUCCCUUAUUGUUAAUUUAUUAAUAAUGGUAAAUAAAUGUGUAGUUCAGGGUUGUAAGACUACUACUGUCAAAGGAUAAAAAGUGCAUGUGAUACCCAAAGUUAAUAUUGGUCAGUUAUGGAUCCAGGCUAUAAAAUAGUAUCAGCCAAAUGUUGUGCCAAAAUCUCGGUAAAUUGUGUGUAAUUUGCAUUUUUUAAAUUCAAUCACAAUCAUAAUAUUGUUGGCGAAAAAUUAAUGCUCAAUAAGUUUGCUGUAACAAAUAUUUUGAAGCCAUUAGUGAAAAUAAUGAUUUGUUAUAGUGUUAUAGACUUUCAUAUACCACAUGUAAUAUUACACUUGAAUUCAAGUAAUAGUUAAUUAGUAUGUAUGUGGUAGUAAUCAUAACCCUAUUUCUAGAUAUCACCAAAACAACAGGUGUGGCACCCUAUGACAUCAAUUAAACCAUAUAAAAGAAAGAUGAAAAUUACCAUAAUUAAGAUUAAUUCUAGUCAUGGAACUGCAAGCAACUUCACGUCAAUUUGUAUCAGAUUUGUUUAACACUGAAUUAUUUAAUUAACGUAUUAUAAAAAGUUUAAGUCUCUUAUUUAAUUGAAAAUUAUACAUCAUCAACUGCUCAAUUGAAAUCGAACUGGUGGCACUUAAUAAGAGGAAACUAUAGUAACACUGAAUAAUUUGCCUUCAACUAGUAGUUCCUGAUCAUGUUUGUUUCCAUUAUCAAUUGAAAAUUCCGGCAAGGAAUAUGAAGUUUCAUUAUCUGAAAAACUGUCAUGAAAAAGAAAAAGUUACAUACAUGUGGGAUACUAGGUGAAAUAAUUAUUAACGCGGAUUAAGAAAUAAUAUAACAAUGUAUUAAUAUACU